AAAGAAAUGGAACUGAUGUCCUUAACCAAGGUUCUUGAAAGAAAUGAAAGAUCCAGUUUACACCAGUGAACGAUCCAGUUGCAAUUUGAGUGAUUUUAAGAAUGAAAUGAAAAAGUCACCUUCGUUUUCAGAUCUGGGAAUGCUCCUGAGGGGAGAGAGAAUGGCAGCAUUCAAAGCGACGCAGCCAGAAACAUAGCAGCUGCAAUACAGGAAGGAAUUUGAGUUAAACUGAUGUAGAAUCAGGUGGGACUACAGGGAUUUGAUAAA